CUGCGGCAGCGACACUGUGUGUUGUUGGGUAGGGGAGCGUUCUGUAAGCCUGUGAAGGUGUGCUGUGAGGCAUGCUGGAGGUAUCAGAAGUGCGAAUGCUGACAUAAGUAACGAUAAAGCGGGUGAAAAGCCCGCUCGCCGGAAGACCAAGGGUUCCUGUCCAACGUUAAUCGGGGCAGGGUGAGUCGACCCCUAAGGCGAGGCCGAAAGGCGUAGUCGAUGGGAAACAGGUUAAUAUUCCUGUACUUGGUGUUACUGCGAAGGGGGGACGGAGAAGGCUAUGUUGGCCGGGCGACGGUUGUCCCGGUUUAAGCGUGUAGGCUGGUUUUCCAGGCAAAUCCGGAAAAUCAAGGCUGAGGCGUGAUGACGAGGCACUACGGUGCUGAAGCAACAAAUGCCCUGCUUCCAGGAAAAGCCUCUAAGCAUCAGGUAACAUCAAAUCGUACCCCAAACCGACACAGGUGGUCAGGUAGAGAAUACCAAGGCGCUUGAGAGAACUCGGGUGAAGGAACUAGGCAAAAUGGUGCCGUAACUUCGGGAGAAGGCACGCUGAUAUGUAGGUGAAGUCCCUCGCGGAUGGAGCUGAAAUCAGUCGAAGAUACCAGCUGGCUGCAACUGUUUAUUAAAAACACAGCACUGUGCAAACACGAAAGUGGACGUAUACGGUGUGACGCCUGCCCGGUGCCGGAAGGUUAAUUGAUGGGGUCAGCGCAAGCGAAGCUCUUGAUCGAAGCCCCGGUAAACGGCGGCCGUAACUAUAACGGUCCUAAGGUAGCGAAAUUCCUUGUCGGGUAAGUUCCGACCUGCACGAAUGGCGUAAUGAUGGCCAGGCUGUCUCCACCCGAGACUCAGUGAAAUUGAACUCGCUGUGAAGAUGCAGUGUACCCGCGGCAAGACGGAAAGACCCCGUGAACCUUUACUAUAGCUUGACACUGAACAUUGAGCCUUGAUGUGUAGGAUAGGUGGGAGGCUUUGAAGUGUGGACGCCAGUCUGCAUGGAGCCGACCUUGAAAUACCACCCUUUAAUGUUUGAUGUUCUAACGUGGACCCGUGAUCCGGGUUGCGGACAGUGUCUGGUGGGUAGUUUGACUGGGGCGGUCUCCUCCUAAAGAGUAACGGAGGAGCACGAAGGUUGGCUAAUCCUGGUCGGACAUCAGGAGGUUAGUGCAAUGGCAUAAGCCAGCUUGACUGCGAGCGUGACGGCGCGAGCAGGUGCGAAAGCAGGUCAUAGUGAUCCGGUGGUUCUGAAUGGAAGGGCCAUCGCUCAACGGAUAAAAGGUACUCCGGGGAUAACAGGCUGAUACCGCCCAAGAGUUCAUAUCGACGGCGGUGUUUGGCACCUCGAUGUCGGCUCAUCACAUCCUGGGGCUGAAGUAGGUCCCAAGGGUAUGGCUGUUCGCCAUUUAAAGUGGUACGCGAGCUGGGUUUAGAACGUCGUGAGACAGUUCGGUCCCUAUCUGCCGUGGGCGCUGGAGAACUGAGGGGGGCUGCUCCUAGUACGAGAGGACCGGAGUGGACGCAUCACUGGUGUUCGGGUUGUCAUGCCAAUGGCACUGCCCGGUAGCUAAAUGCGGAAGAGAUAAGUGCUGAAAGCAUCUAAGCACGAAACUUGCCCCGAGAUGAGUUCUCCCUGACCCUUUAAGGGUCCUGAAGGAACGUUGAAGACGACGACGUUGAUAGGCCGGGUGUGUAAGCGCAGCGAUGCGUUGAGCUAACCGGUACUAAUGAACCGUGAGGCUUAACCUUACAACGCCGAAGGUGUUU
rnacentral:rRNA from 1 species